ensembl:lncRNA
CCGCGGAUGUAGGGGUGGGGUUUAGGAGCCGAGCGGGAAGGCGGAGGCCGUGCUGUGGGCUCCUGGGGCUGGGGGUCGGCUCGGAAUCAGGAUCUUAUUAAUAAUUCCCCGACCAAGGAACCCACUCCCUCUGCAGAAGAAGCGUGGAGUCUUAACCACUGGACUGCCAGGUGAAAAAUCCCUGGACCACUGCUGACCCAGAGCAGGGCAGGAAGGAGCUGCAGCCCUGGGGGCUGAGGAGGAGCGGAGGGGAGCUAUGGCUGUCCCUCACUGUCCACCAGGGGAGUUGUGAUACAUCUUUCAGAUAGUGAGGGAACAUGAGCUUGCUGGCUGGCCAGAGGAUUGGAGAUAAUACUUCAGUGCAGUACUUUGAACCACCUUGAACUUUUGACCAUCUGACGUCCCCAAGACCUGCAGACUGUUCCUGUCGAUUGGUGGUUUGCACCCGCAGCAGUCCUGAAUCAGGGUCUUUUCCAAAGAGCCAGUUCUUAACAUCAGGUGGCCAAAGUAUUGGAGCUUCAGCUUCAGCAUCAGCCCUUCCAAUGAAUAUUCAGAGUUGAUUUCCUUUAAGAUUGACUGGUUUGAUCUCCUUGCUGUCCAAGAAGACUGUCAAAAGUCUUCUCCAGCACCACAGUUCGAAAGCAUCAGUUCUUCCGCGCUCAGCCUGGUCCAACUCUCACAUCUGUACCUAACUACUGGAAAAACCCAAAGCUUUGACUGAAAGACCCGUUAGGUACACAGCAGUCACGCGCUCGGCCAUUCACCAUCUGGCCUCUAGGUGGCGCUGCCUGCCUGGUGCACCAGGCCUUGGUUUUGGGGAGACAUUGAGUCUCAUUUGCUUGUCCAUGGGAUUGGUUAUUAUCAUGUGGUCCUUGAUUGGCCUGGGCGAUCUGGAGAUCAGACAAAGCCCUUUUUGCAUAAGGCAUCUGGAUGCCGUUAAAAACUGUUUCUGAUUACAAAAGUGAGCAUGAGUAUUUGUGAAAUAAUUUCAGUACAACACCAAGUCUACACCCCCGUCCAUUGAGGGCCUUCCCCACCCUAUUCAGAGGUAAACAUCACAGGUCCAUGGCUAGCUGUACAUAUCUCCAGAUUUUCUAUUGAACAAAUGGAGUCUUGGAAGAUACUGCCUGGAUGGUGAAGCCUUUUUCCUGUUUAAGAGCUGCAGCCAGGUGCUAUUAUUACAGAGGGAGCGCAGCCCACCCUGAGUUAGUAGUCCCUCAGCCUCCUCUACCCGAGGCAGCCUGAAGGCUUGGGGGCUGGAGCAAGACCUCUCGGAACCCUCAGUUGCUAUGGUAAUAACAGCCAUAGUAAAAAAUCACUUACUAUGGGCCAGGUACCCUUUGUUCUGAGAACAGCAGUUCUCAAAGGGGUUCAGAAACUUGGGGGCCACUGAGACCCUUCCAGGGGGGUCCAUCAGACUGAACUGUUUCAUUUUUUUAAAUAAAUAUUUGAUACUACUUUAAAACAUUAUUUUUAGCCUGUGGGAAUCUUUGUUCCUUGACCAGGGAUAGAAGCCAUACCCCCUGCAUCGGAAGUAGAGCAUCUUAACCACUGGACCACUGGGGAAGUCCCUGAACUAUUUAAAAAUAUUUUUUCUUUGAACUAUUUUUAAUAUUAAUGUUAAGAUGUCCUUUGCCUCUGUCACUUUUUUUCUCUCACAUGUGUGUGGUGGAGUUUCCAGGGGAGAGUCCCUGUUGCAACAGGUGGGAUGCAGAAUCAGAUGUGAGAAUCCAGUUGUCUUCUGUUCACUGGACAUGGAAGAGAUGCAAAAUUGGAAAACAAUGUCUCUCUUUUUAUGGAAUAUUUUUGUUUUGGAAAAGGUGGUUAUUUUUCAUUAAAAAUGUUAUUUGUUAUCGUG